CCCAGAGAUUUCUGAUCUUUGAAGAAUUGCCUUUAGAGUUGGUCCAUCAAUACAAGCAUCAAGUGGGCUUGAAAGUAUGGUUGGAGUUAUCACAUGGAGGUAAUGAGUGCAUAAACAUCUUCACGGCUCUCGAGUAUCUUGUUUCGACAUCUUAAAGGAUCUUGCUAGUAUAGUAGAUUGGCUUUUGAUUUUCUGUAUCCU
rnacentral:lncRNA from 1 species